rfam:Bacillus sp. KCTC 13219 scaffold3.1, whole genome shotgun sequence.
GAUAGAGGAACACAAGCGUUUUCGCAUCCUGCGAAAACGCUUGUGUGACCAACAUCGUGUUGG